AGAGAGAGACAUGCGCGCAUAUCAAUAAGCGGAGGAAAAGAAACUAACAAGGAUUCCCCUAGUAACGGCGAGUGAAGCGGGAAGAGCUCAAAUUUGAAAUCUUAAAGGGUUUCCCUUUACGAAUUGUAGUUUAAAGAAGUGUUUUCUGUUGAGGUUUUGGUAAAAGUUCUUUGGAAUAGGACAUCAUAGAGGGUGAGAAUCCCGUAUUUGACCUUUACUUUCAACUUUGUGAUACACUUUCAAAGAGUCGGAUUGUUUGGGAAUGCAGUCCAAAAUGGGUGGUAAAUUUCAUCUAAAGCUAAAUAUUGGCGAGAGACCGAUAGCGAACAAGUACCGUGAGGGAAAGAUGAAAAGAACUUUGAAAAGAGAGUUAAACAGUACGUGAAAUUGUCAAAAGGGAAGCGUUUGACACCAGUGUUGUUUUUCUGAAAAUCAAUUAAAGAACUGUUUAUGCUAAGUUGUUUAGACUUUAUCAGCUAUCUGUUUAGUUUUGAGCUUUUCUUUAAUGCACUUUUCAGUUAACAAGUCAACAUCAAUUUCUUUUGCUGUAAAAAAGCUUGAGGAAGGUGGCUUGAUGAUUCGUCUUAAGUGUUUAUAGCCUCUUGCCUAUGCAGUCGGAGAGAUUGAGGUCUGCAGCGUAGAUCCUUCGGGGCUAGAUGCAUUUGUGCUAAGUUAUAGCAUUUUAUAGACAACUUGUUGACUAUGAUUUGUCUUGUAGCUUACUCGCUUAUGUUAUUUUACCUACGCUUAGGAUGUUGAAGACUCUACAGAGAU
rnacentral:rRNA from 1 species